AGGCAGCCCAGCUAAACAUGUCAUGCGUAAUUUAUGGGUGGCAGGCAGAGAAUUAACCUUUGCGUGCACAUAUUUGGCCCAGAUGAAAACCGGGCGGGAUGGCAGCCCCGGGGCCAGGGAUGCGGGAGCCGCCGGGAGAACCCGCGCGCCGCUCGCCUCGCAGGGACUCGCACCUUCCCCCGACAAAGGUCAUUAAGUUAGGCGGCCCGACUGUCGACCGAGUGCCCAAGGCAUUGUGGGAGUCAUGAUUCCAAGAUGCCCGCGACGGAAAAUAGAACUUGUCAGCUCCUUGUCACGGGAGCAUUGUGGGCGCCACAACUCAUUCAGCUGCAGUGAAAAGACUGUUGCAUGUCGCUGUGCAGCCUCUUAUCGCCGAGGUCUGGCUUCCGCUGCUGCUGCGCGGCCCCUCCCCCGCCCGCCCAGCCCCACCAGGAAGCCCAGGGCGGACUCGUCGAGCUCCUGAAUGCACGCGGCGGCGAGGAAAACGCUCUGCAACUUUCCGUUGGCGCCCUCCCGCGCUUCCCCAGGCCCCAGAGUCUCCUCUCAACCCGGCAGAGUCCGCAAGGACGGGUCAUGGGCGCUCGCCCCGCGGCGCCAAGAGCAGGAGGAAGCUGGCGCCCGCGUGGGCGCCGUGGAUCCCCUCGGCUUCGGUUGGUAUCUUCCAUCUUUUGCGUUCGACAUUGUAACCUCGCGGCGGGCGUACAGAGGGGACGCCCUCCCGCUACUUCUGCUCCUACCGACUAGCCGCGCACGUCGGUGGGUUCGUUUUGAAUGAGGCCCUUGCACCGGGCUUUGCGAGGAAGCCGGAAAGGUUAGACUGAAGGUUAGAAACCUGUUAGACUAGAAUCCUGGGAUCUGUUGGGACUGCCGCCUUAAAAUGCACCAGUUUCUGAACCUGGAAGGCGAACAGGCGGGAAAAACAUCUGCAAGACUGCCACUGUGUAUUUUUCUCAAGUAACAGGCUGUCCACAGUUUUGGAAUUCCUUAGUGAAACUGUCUCACAAGCACAAACACUCACAUCCAGCUUUCCUUCUAGUUUGUAAAUAAUAUUUGGACUUUACAAUAUAUUCUCAACUAUGCACUAUGUGAUUUAUAGAAAGCAAAGCUUCCUCUUUGAAAAUAAUGUAUUAUUUUUAAUAUAUUAUAAAUAUAUAUUUUAAUAUAUUAUAACUAUAUAUUUUUAAUAUAUUAUAAAUAUAUUUAUAUUUUAUAUAAUAUAUAUGUUUGUAUUUAUAACAUAUUAAGUACUGGGAUAUUUCACGGCAAGUAAGCCAUAUUGUCGCCAGAGCAAAUAAACCACAGCCCCAUAUCAUAAUUCACUGGGUGUUAUAAGGUGUAACUUGGCUUCACUUUGAAUGGAAAGAAUCCUGAACAUCUGUGGUGUGAUAAAGUUUUGGAGAUUGGGGGCAGGAUUUCCUUCGUAAGGAAUUCCGAUAACUUGUUCAAGGAUGAUUUUGGUGAAAAACGUUUGUCCCACAUUUGGGACAAAAAUGCUGGAUAUGGUACAACGUUCGUCCUGCAGGCUAGGUUGUGUUGAAGAGAGUGAGGCCAGCUCGGGGUGAAGGAAAAACAUCAGAAAGGUGCUAAAGUGCAGAAAUAUCUUCCAGAAGCACUAAUAGCUGACUUGAGUUCUUGCCCUUUAGCUAGAUCUACAAAGCACUGAGUUAAAAUUGUACACUGAUUACUUCCAGAACAAAUUAAUUAAUUAAAUGGUGCCCCUUCCCAGCGUUAAUCGUUUAAAAGAACUCAAGUACCCACACAGUGUAAGCAAAAAGGACACUGACACUUUCUCAGAGAACAGGGAUCGGAACUUUCUGUCUGCCCAUUAGUAACUACCCCAAGCUAUGAAGACUUCCGUUCCUCUUAUUAAACAUUCAGCAACUACAUUUAGUGCCUACCAUGCCAGUGAUGCAAGAAUGGGUAAGACAGUCUCUAUACUCAAGGAUAACACAUCUACUAGGUGAGAGACAAACCAAUUAAUUUUGCCUAAGGGAUAAGUACUGUGAUGUCGGAGGCAAUCCCGUGAGGGCUCUGAGGAUGGCGAACAAAGAGUUCCUGGAGGAUUUACAUUUAACUGGUGCUUUGAAAGGUGGGUACAAGUUAGCAAGAUCAAAAGAUCAAAAGGGAGUAGAGUCUGGGUGGAGAAGAGAAAAGACCAGGGCAGGCUGGGUGGCGUGGCUCACACCUGUAAUCCGAGCACUUUAGGAGGCUGAGAAGGAGGGAGGAUCACUUGAGGUCAGGAGUUUAUGAGACAGCCUGGGUAACAUUGAAAGGCCCUGUCUCAAAAGAAACGAGAAGAGCAGGGCAUAUACAAGGCAUAUACAGCCUUCUCAGCCUUUCUGUGAGAAGUGAGGGGAGGGUAGUAGAGGAGAGUGGCAGGAGAUGACGCUAAAAGUAGGUCUGUGUUAAUCUGAGUUUCAACUUUACUGUCAAAGCUAAUGAACUGGAAAAGUUUAGGCAGCAAGGGCCAGAGAUGGAGUCUGGACUUGUACUGCAGAAAGUUCCUGUGGUGGCAGCUUGGAGGGUGAAUGAGAGUGUGGGCUGGAGGGGUGAAUGGGUGUGGACAGACUGGAAAAAUGACUCAUGCAGGGAAUGAGGAAGGGAGGAGCCUUGGGAGACUCCCAAAUCCCUGGCUUAACCUACUGAAUUGCUUGCUACUUGCCUUCUAAUUUCUUCAUUUUGCCUGCCAUUCUCUGUGAUAUUAAAGGCCUAACUUCUUAGCAGAGCAACCUUUGCACCUGCUAGCAGGUUGGUGCCUAUAGCUGGCUUCCAUGCCCCUCUGCUCAGAAUGCCUGCAAACCACUAAGGACUAAUCCUGGUGGUAGAAAUUUGUUCUCAACAUAAACCCGUGUAGAAUUCCAAGUUAGAAAUGUGUUCUUUUUUCAUGUGGGUUAGAAAAUUUGCUGUUUGGGGCAACAUGGUGAAACACAGGACUUUUGAACCUGUUUAUGGUGCAAGAGCGAAAACUAUGUUUCUACUUCAACACUGGAGGAGCGGGGAGCUUCUGGGAGCAAAAGAGAAAUCGAAACUGAGACAUGUUUUUUGCUCCAUGACAGAAUACAAAGAAAUACAAGGAUGAUCCUUUAAUGUUAGAAACAGUAGAAUAACCAUCCUGGUAAAUGACAAAGAAGAGGAAAAAUGUUAGUUUACAUUAGAUAGAAAAAGGAUGGCUAAGAAAACUCAUAAAACAAUGGUCAAUUUAUAAUUCAAAAUGAGUCCAAAUAAAUUGUGAUAUAAAACUACAUUACCACUGAUUUGGCCUAAUUUACCAUUGAUAACAUUAGAACAUGAAUGAUGGCAUUUAAAAUUUUAAAGCACUGUAACAAACACCAGAUCAUAUGUUGAAACUAUUAAAAUCAUGUUGUCAGCUUUCAACUGCCAGCAGCAUCCUACCCACAUUUCAAACUAUGGAAAUUACUAAAAAAUCAUUAUAGUAAUAAAAAGUUAAUAGUUCCUCAUUUAGAAUACCAUUGCUAUUCCCUCAGUGCCAGGAGAACAUUAUGGUUUCUCCUGCUUCUGUGAAGUGUCAUUAUAGUCCACAGGUUCAUAGUGAGUAUAUCCAUGAAUAUAAAAAGAAGGUCAUUCGUGGGUGGAGAGGGAAAUUAUAGAAAACAAUUUCAGGUAAAAUAAAACUAAAUUUCAAAUAAAGAAAAGAGUGCUCACUUCCGUUCCUGAAACACUUUAGUCCAUUUAAGUUUUAGUUAUACCAAUGAAUCUCAAUAGAAAUACAGUUAAGGGACAUAGAUAAUAUCAGCUCCCUGUUUACCAAUAAUAAAGAUAAAGAUAAUGGCAGCAUUUAUCUUUUUCAUUCCAAUGGGAAUAUUUAAGGCACCUAUAUAAGUGUGUGAGUGCAUGUGUGAAUUGUGACUUACUUCUUCUGCAUACCACAUUCAUAGCUCAAUGAGCUCUCACUGCCCCUCCAGUAUAACUUGUCUUUCCUCACACACGCACACACACACACACACACAAAUCACCUAAAUAAAAAUAUCUCAAGGGGUAUACUCUUUUAAAUACUAUUUUUAUUAUACCAGGAUAAAAAUAAUUGAUUGAAAGAUAGUGUCAAAUCCAGAACCUAGUCUCAUGUACUCUGCUUCCUAAUCAAUGUUUAAAUAUAGAUGAUCAAGAGAAGAGAACUCUUAAAAGGGAAUCAAAAGUUGCAAACAUUCUUGUAUGGAGAAUCAAGUUUAAGUAGAUGCAUUAGAUGUAUCACAUUAAACUUCACAACAGAGUUGAGGAGAGAGCUGAGACCUUUUGUAGAAUUCAAACUUGUUUCUAUAUUUGAAUAAAUAUACUUGAUAGGAUUAUGUGAAUUUAGUUUAAUUUCAAAGACCUUUAUAUAUUUCACACACAACACAAGUUCUUUAUGCUCAUGAUUUAAAAAUAAAAAUAUUCUAAUAGAUAUUAUAUAUAUUUGAUACAUAAUACAAUAUGUUGUAUGUAUAACAUGUGUAGCACAUGAAUGUGAAAACAUAUAAUGUCAACAUUUGCUACUAAGUGUUUAUAAAAUUCAAAACAGUUAAAUAUUAACUUUAUUAUGCGUUUCUCAAUUAAGCUAUUUUACCUAAAAGUUGAGUUUACGUGUUCAAUAUCAUUAUUUUAAAAUCUGGCAAUAGAGAGACAAUAAGCAAAUACAUUUUGAAAUUACAAGUUCAGAAUAAUAGAAUUUUAGCAUUGAAUGGAAUGUUAGAGAGCAUCUGGCCUUGUUCCCUUGUUAAACCAGAGAAGUGCAUUAUAUAAGGAACUUGGCACCAUGGCAGAACAGAACUGACAUUAGUGUCUUCUCACUCUCUCAGGCCAUUCAUUUUCAUUGUCAUUUUUUUUUUUUUCUUAAAGACAAUGAGGACAACAAGAAGCUCUAAAAUGGCCCUAACAGUUCCCCAAGUUUAAUGUGAGGAGGUGCUACAUUAGAUUUCCAAGAAUAUGUUCUUCCUUCCUCAGUUUCUUCCUUCUUUCCUUUUUUUCCUUCUUUUAUUCUUUCCGUUGUUUAAUCCUUCCUUUCUUCUUUCCAUUCAGAAAGCACUUUUCAUACAAUGACUGUAUUCAUUUCGUGAACAUUUAUUGAGCAUCAGCCAUGGCUAACUCCUAUUCUAGGUACUGUGGUUACAGAAUUGAACAGCACAGAUAAAUCAUUUCCCUCAAAGGGGUUGCAUUCUACUAAGGGGAGACAAGCAACAAAAAAUAAGUCAAGGAAAAAAAAAGAUAAACAUAUGAGGUAAUCUCAGAUGGAGGUAAGUGCCAUGAAAUAAAAUAAAGCAGGUUGGGGGAUUUGGAGGGGAGGAUAUGUAAAACACAACAGAGGACUGAGAUGGUCAUAUGCCAGCAAGGUUCUUGGUGAAGUGAGGAAUAGCUGGGGAAAGAGCAUUCAAAGCAAUGAGGACUGCAUGGCAAGAGCCCUCAGGCCUGACUUCACGGUAGGGCUAGAGAGCCAAUGGUGAAUAAAAACUACUUAACCUCAAGGAGCUUACAGUCAAGAAAGAGGAAACAAAAUGAAUCUUCAUCAAAUUAAUCACACUCAAAAUGCAAAACUACAACUAUGAUACUUUUCGUCACUGGGAACCAUUGAAGUGUUUGAUUAUGUUAGAGGCAGGGGUGGGAGUGGGGUGAUGGAACAUUAUCUAAAUUUGGUUUUCACAAAGAUAACUAAAUGUUUGUAAAGUAACUCUUGACUGCUGUGUGGAGGCUGAUAGUCUAAUCUCAGAACAGAAUGCAUGAAGUGCACCACUGCUAAGAAUGAGAGCAAACCAAGAGUAGGCUCUGUCUAGGAGAGCAAUGGGCAGCAAAUGGCUGGGGGCCCAGCAGCAGAAAGUGAUUUGGUUGAAGACUCUCAGCAGUGGGGUACAACAAAUGUUAGAAUUGCAUCUCAGAGUUGAAGAGAAGCCAUAAGACUCAUGAUCCUCAAGAUACAUACCUUGAGGGAAGUGAGAUGUGGUAUGCCUGUGUAUGUGUGACUUAUUUCGAGUCAACACAAUAUAGAAAAUUCAAAAUUAUUGAAGAUAGAAUAUUUUUAUAACAAUCACCAGUGUUUCCAGUUCCCAGAGAUAGUCACUGUUUGUAUUAUGGUUUAUUUCCUUCUAGGCUUUUCCAAUGCAUUUUUUUAAAGCAUAGUUAAUACUGUACUAUAUAUGCAAUUUCUUUUCUAAAUGUAACCUUUUAAGACAGUCUUAUAAAACAAAGGACAUCCCCAUACCAUUUAUAUAUAAUCUUCAUUUUUCAUGAGGUAAUGGAAGCUGGAGAGUUGGCCCUUGACCAAAGCCUUGUGGCCAGCAAGAGGUCAAGCCUCCUGCCCCACGGUGUUUCACAGCCAGUACACCAAGCUCCCGAAUUCAUCUGUCUAACAUAUAAUAUAUUUAUAAAUGCUCUACCUGGGAUGUACACACACCUUCUACUAUGGUCUGUCAUUAAAGAAAAGGAAAUAUGCAAUCAUGGUCUUUCAAUAAAUUAAACAGAUAUAAAAAUAAAUAUAAAAUAUAGCCAGAAGGUCAAAAUUGACAUGUUACCUAUUUAUGCUUAUAAUAUAUGAUUACAUGUAAUAUUGUAAAACACCUUCUACCAUUUCAUAAAAUUUUAUGUUGUCAUUUAGCCCAGAAUUCCCUUGCAACCUUUUAAAAAUAGUAUCUAAUAGGCCUUUUAAUAUAAAUGUUGUAGUGUAACUGUUUUAUGUACUGUAACCCAAACAUUUCUGCAUAGUAACCCUGUUUCAUAUGAAAACAAAUAUGAAAAAAAUAUGGCCUUUUGUCUUAUUUAUUCCUAAAGGUAAACCAAUCUUUGACAAUGCCAAUAACAGGGCUGAUGUUCCUAAAUAUCUGCUGUAUCUAUCUACCUACUCAUUGUAUUUUUGACGUUUCCUUUUUUGGUUUCUAUGAUAUUCCACAUCUCUCUCUUUUCAUUCCAUUGUGCGAGUUCUCUCUGUGGAUCUUUUGUUAGCUCCUCUUAUUCCUUCUUGCCCGAGUUUCCUGAAAUUACCUUCAAAUCAUGUCUCAAAAGAUGUUCUAAAGAGAUCUUUUAAUAAGAACAACAUUUGUCCCAUUAAUAAAUGGUGGGAGUUUCAUAUAUCUGUUUUUCUCUUUCCUCUGUGCUUUGUCCAACAGAGUGCGAACUGGGCAGUACAGUCAUAAAUUAAUUUUAAUAACUUAGGCAUCAGUGCCCUGGCUAUUGCUUCUUAAUACAUUUAAUACAUAUUCAUUGACUACUGACUAUGUGCCAAGGGUUGUGCUUGGCACCGGGGAUAAAGAAAUUAUUAAGUCUUUUGCAAGGUGUUCAUAGUCUAGUGGUUGGAGACAGACAUAGCGGAAAAAACACAGUUGGAAAAGAGUGUAGCAAAUGAAACCAUUCAGUUAAAUUCAACAAACCCUGCGUGUUUACCAUGUGCCAAGCAGAUGGCAAGGAGGAUAGGACUGGGCAAGGCCUUGCUCCUCAUGGACUCCCAAGCAGCUGGCAAAUGGUAAAAUUACCCGACACUUGUUAAGAGCUUCAUGGCAGAAAGAAAGUCAGAAAACAAAGUCAUGAAAGGCUAUCAGACAGAUAAAAAAAAUUUGAUCGGAAAAACACUUUUUAACAAGUAUUGUCUGAAUAACAUGAGGAAAAAGUUUGUUUUUCAGAUUUUUCUUGCUGUCAUUAUGGAAAGCUUACUAGUAUCAGGUUUAUUUCCUAGAGUUUGAGGCCUCUCUGGCUUGGCCCAGUGAAUCCCAAACUGGCCUUGCAACUCUCUCCUUGCCUCUCCUAGACUUUCAGUAACAAAUCUUCAACAGGUGAUAGGAGGUUAUCUGAUUAAAGUCAUUCACACUAAGGCGAGAAUGAGGCUUAAUCCUUCAAGAGCGUUUGCUUUAACAAAGGAUAGCUUGUUAACCCUAAUGAACUGCUCAUUGGAAGAACUCUGCAGAAGGAUCCCUCCUUCGCACCUUCCCAGAAUUGCCAACCCCGUCUUGCCUUUUCAUUUGUCUUCCUUGAAGCAAAGGAGGAAUGGAAGUGUUAGGGAUUCUAAGAUCACACAUUAUCUCCUUGAACUAUCACAAGAGGUAUGUAAGGUAAUUAUGACCCCAUGCUCAUAAUGAGGAGACUGAAACUGUGGCUAUGGUUCUUAACUCCGACUACAAUUUGGAUAGGUGGGCUGCAACCCAGACAAAUUAAAUCAAAAUUUCUGGGAGCAGCAUCCAAGCAUUUGUAGCUUUUUAAAAAGCCCCUUAGAUGAUUCCAAAGCACAGCCAAGGUUGCCGGUUUCUUGCCUAAACUCUGCAAGAAGCUAGAGUUGAGGAAAUGGAAAUUAGUCAGAAUAGGCAGCAAUCCAUUGACCUAUUCCAUUUUUUUCCUUUGGCAAA